UUUUGUUCAUUUCCAUCUCCUGUUUGGAUGUGUUUUCCUGUUUUUCUCUAAGGACUUCUACCUGUUUGGUUAUGUUUUCCUGUUUUUCUUUAAGGACCUGUAACUCUUUAGCAGUGCUCUCCUGUAUUUCUUUAAGUGAGUUAUUAAAGUCCUUCUUGAUGUCCUCUACCAUCAUCAUGAGAUAAGCUUUUAAAUCUGGGUCUAGAUUUUCGGUUGUGUUGGGGUGCCCAAAACUAGGUGGGGUGGGAGUGCUACAUUCUGAUGAUGGUGAGUGGUCUUGAUUUCUGUUUGUAGGAUUCUUACAUUUGCCUUUCGCCAUCUGGUAAUCUCUGAAGCUAGCUGUUAUAGUUGUCUCUGGCUAGAGCUUAUUCCUCAGGUGACUCUGUUAGCCUCUAUAAGCAGACCUGGGAGGCUAGCUCUCUCCUUAGUUUCAGUAGUCAGAGUAUUCUCUGCAGGCAAGCUUUCUUCUUUCAGGGAAGUUGCCCAGAUAUCUGGUGUUCUAACCUGCCUCCUGGCAGAAGUUGUGUUCCACUCAGCAGAAGUCUUAGGAUCCCGUGAGGAAUCCUGUGUGGGUCCUUGCAGGUGUCUGGAGACUCUGCUGGCAAGGCACCGCGGUGCUCGAGUGGACUGGAAGGGACUUGUGCCCCAGGUCAGGCUGGGUUGUCUGCUUCCCUAGGUAAUUACAGUCUCAGGUUUUGCGCGAUUGGAUUGGAGUAGAUGCCGUGUUCCACUCACCAGAGGUCUUAGGAUACUGUGGGGAAUCCUGUGUGGUUCCUUGCGGGUGUCCAGAGACUCCGCUGGCAAGGCACCCAGGUGCUCAAGUGGACCGGAAGGGCUAUAAAUUCUAAGAAGGCUACUGACAGCAUUUGGACAACACACAGAUCAAAUCUCGAGGCAUUUUGAGUUACAGAAUUGAAUUUAAGGGGCCAAGAAGUAAUGUAAAAUGAAAAACUGGUUUCAGCACACCUGGGCCUUUCAAGGCAUGAGUCCUCACUUUUCGGAAGACAAAAAUUCUAGAGUUGGUGGAACUGUUUGAAAAGGACCUUGUUGGAGAAGGCGUGUGACUAGAGCUGGGCUUUGAGGUUCUACUGUGUCCUCUCUUUGUCUCCUGCUUGUGAAUCCAAUUGUGAGCUGUCAGCUGUUCAUAUUAACAUAUCUUUGCUCUGCUAUCAUGGACUCUCACCUUAAAAAUCAUAAGCACCCUCAAUUAAAUGCUUUCUUUUA
rnacentral:lncRNA from 1 species